AUUGAACGCUGGCGGCAGGCCUAACACAUGCAAGUCGAACGCGUGGCGGACGGGUGAGUCAUGUCUGGGAAACUGCCUGAUGGAGGGGGAUAACUACUGGAAACGGUAGCUAAUACCGCAUACCAUCGGAUGUGCCCAGAUGGGAUUAGCUAGUAGGUGGGGUAACGGCUCACCUAGGCGACGAUUCCUAGCUGGUCUGAGCGGAUGACCAGCCACACUGUAACUGAGACACGGUCCAGACUCCUACGGGAGACAGCAGGGGGGAAGAUUGCAAAAUGGGCGCAAGCCUGAGGAAGGCAUGACGUGUGUAAGAGGAAGGCCUUCGGGUCAUAAAGUACGUUCAGCGGGGAGGCGUUAGGCGCAGAAGAGUCACAUGCUAACACCGUGCCAGCAGCCGCGGUAAUAC
rnacentral:rRNA from 1 species